CUUGACAUCCAGCGAACUUGGCAGAGAUGCCUUGGUGCCUUCGGGAACGCUGAGGACAGGUGCUGCAUGGCUGUCGUCAGCUCGUGUUGUGAAAUGUUGGGUUAAGUCCGCAACGAGCGCAACCCUUAUCCUUUGUUGCCAGCGAUUCGGUCGGGAACUCAAAGGAGACUGCCGGUGAUAAACCGGAGGAAGGUGGGGAUGACGUCAAGUCAUCAUGGCCCUUACGAGUAGGGCUACACACGUGCUACAAUGGCGCAUACAAAGAGAAGCGACCUCGCGAGAGCAAGCGGACCUCAUAAAGUGCGUCGUAGUCCGGAUCGGAGUCUGCAACUCGACUCCGUGAAGUCGGAAUCGCUAGUAAUCGUGGAUCAGAAUGCCACGGUGAAUACGUUCCCGGGCCUUGUACACACCGCCCGUCACACCAUGGGAGUGGGUUGCAAAAGAAGUAGGUAGCUUAACCUUCGGGAGGGCGCUUACCACUUUGUGAUUCAUGACUGGGGUGAAGUCGUAACAAGGUAAGCGUAGACGU
rnacentral:rRNA from 1 species